CAAAGAAAUCACCAGCGGCUUGGAAAAAAACUACCGUCGCGACACAACAAGAUAGAUUUGGUUUUGUUUUCAGCAGAUCAAAUCCAGUUCUUUUCAGAACUUAAAAUUGCUUUGAAGUGUAAGAGUUUAAAAAAUACUGCGUUAAAGUACAUUCAUUUUGUAAUUUCUUCGAUCAAGUGCGAUCAACGUAAGAUUACCUUUUUCGGGAACUUAUUAGGGGUACAAUGAAUCUUCAGAAAGACAAUUCAUUCCCACUCGACGCUCACCGGAAAACAUUGUUCACUUAACAAUUUCUCAAACGGAAAGUGGGUUGUCACCGCAAGAAUCACGAUAUUUUAGAGCGUGUUUCAUUCCGCGUUCAGACCGCGCUCUAUCAUGAACAAAUGUAAGAAGGAUGAAAAGUAAACAAUAGCAGGCCGCAUAGAUUGACUUAACGCACCAUAUGCAAUGAAUGCAAUAAAGUUUAGGCCAAGACGGGUCUAUGGUACUAGGUGAGGCCGUUUCGUCACUAAGUUGGUGAGGGGAGCGGUAUAUGAAAACAGCACGGAAGAAAGCAGAAGGGGAAUUAUUUGCUUGAAGCGUGAAAGAAACAGACUAAUCACGAGCGAGCUUCGGCAAUAGCGUAUUGUGUUUUGUUUACAAACAAAACACAGUAGACUUCCAAGAUGGCUGAAGAGUGGUUUUAGCAAGUUGGCCCACCUUAGGAUAUACUUCUAGGCGCCUUGGUUUAGGCAUCACGGAGCUUAUCUCCGUGUAAAUGACGAAUGACGGGAGAAACCUCAAAUAGCUCGCUUAAGCAAUGAAAGCAGGUCCAAGGAAUCCCUCUCGAAGGGAUUGGUGUAACAAAAUGUAAUUGCUGCUCUACGGUCUUGGUGUUUUAAGACUGCUGGACAGAAAGGAAAUAAACUAGGAUAAGUAAAUAUAGGGAAAAUCUUGCAUAGAAAGAACAAACUCGGAAUGAAUAAAGCACUUAUAAUCCGACCACGGACGGAGGAGCGUCGUGGGUCACAAGAAAACCACGCUAACAUCGUAACCUAAUAUCACAGCCUAGAAGUCGGCCCCGCCAGGAAAAAAGGACAGCCAGGAAAACUUACAGGAGCAGCCAAAGAGUGGUACCACCGGUAGAUCAGUAGACGCAUCCCUUCAGUUGUGCCUUCUACGUGAUCCGGCCUACCGUGAGCGUCCAAUAAAGACACCCCCCUUAUCUUCACUAGAGACUAGGAGCCACAUUUGGUGUCUUCAGAGUGAAAUCUUCCUCGAAUUACUAACUAGUCGAGCUAGUAGCCGUAAUGAGUGUUGUGAGGAAGGACAGAGCGAGCGCAAAAUUUAUACAGACUGAUUGGAAGCGACAGAUAUUUUGUCUAUUGGAAAUUACAUACAAAUUACAAAAUAAAAGGUAUGGUAUAUGGUAAAAAGAACAUGGUAUAAAAAAACAAAAACAAUGAUAUACAAAAUACAAAAAAAAAAAAGAGUUUUGAAAUUAGUGACAAGCAAUGUAUAGGCCAAACAAGAGUAAG